rnacentral:rRNA from 1 species
GACGAACGCUGGCGGCGUGCUUAACACAUGCAAGUCGAACGGAAAGGCCCCUUUGGGGGUACUCGAGUGGCGAACGGGUGAGGAAAGCGUGAGUAACCUGCCCUUGACUUCGGGAUAACUUCAGGAAACUGGGGCUAAUACCGGAUAGGAAUCCUUGCUGCAUGGGGGGGGGUGGAAAGCUUCGGCGGUUUUGGAUGGACUCGCGGCUUAUCAGCUUGUUGGUGGGGUAGUGGCUUACCAAGGCUUUGACGGGUAGCCGGCCUGAGAGGGCGACCGGCCACAUUGGGACUGAGAUACGGCCCAGACUCCUACGGGAGGCAGCAGUGGGGAAUAUUGCACAAUGGGCGGAAGCCUGAUGCAGCAACGCCGCGUGCGGGAUGACGGCCUUCGGGUUGUAAACCGCUUUCAGCAGGGGCGAAGCUUGUGGUGACGGUACCUGCAGAAGAAGCACCGGCUAACUACGUG